rnacentral:lncRNA from 1 species
GCGAGACUCUGUGGGGGUAGGACCCUCUGAGCCACGUGCCGGAUAUAAUCUCGUGGUGCGCCGUUUUUUUAAGCCGUUCGGAAAAGCACAGUAUUCGGGUGGGAGUGACCCGAUUUUCCAGGUGCGUCUGUCACCCCUUUCUUUCACUCAGAAAGGGAACUCCCUGACCCCUUGCGCUUCCCAAGUGAGGCAAUGCCUCGCCCUGCUUCGGCUCGCGCACGGUGCGCGCACCCACUGACCUUCGCCCACUGUCUGCCACUCCCAAGUGAGAUGAACCCGGUACCUCAGAUGGAAAUGCAGAAAUCACCUGUCUUCUGCGUCGCUCACGCUGGGAGCUGUAGACUGGAGCUGUUCCUAUUCGGCCAUCUUGGCUCCUCUCAGAUGAUAAAAUUCAGGCCAAGAGAAGCAAAGACAGCAAAGACUGACAUAAAAAAGAAACAACAAAAACAACUCUUGUUAAUGAUGUAGAAUUAAUCUGAAUUCUCCAAAAACCUGCCUCUUUUGGAGGACUCCUUAUUGCUGCUGCCAUGGGAAGAAGGAUGUGUUCGCUUCUCCACUACUGUGGUUGUAAAUUUUCUGAAACCUCCACAGCCAUGCUGAACUGGAUCAUUGAAGUAGCAGUGGCAACGAUGUUAUGAAAGUUCCAUGGACGUCAGAGAUCCAGGAUCUUCUUGUUUCCUCACCACCAUCAUCAACUUCUCUGUCUUUUUUGGUUAAAAAGCCACCACAUCUACGACUGCAGUUUUCCCAGCAGAAAACAGGCUUGCAUUCUUGGAAGGUAAAGGGAUAAGAAGCUGUGAAGGUUACGUAAUGGAGAUGAAAGGCAAGCUACAGGAAGUGAAAUUGGCAAUUCUUCUUGGUCCCUGUUUGGGAAAAUGUGAAUCUCAUCCUCUCAGUUUCUAGUUUGACAGACUAUAAGAGUUAGAGACGAAUGCUGAAAGACCAUGAAAAAUCUCAGAGACAAGUCAUUUCUGGGACAAUAAAUAGCGGAAGACAGCAUUUAACAAUGAAUUAAGGGAAAUUCCAUUCUUUCCUGUAUUUCAGCACUGCGGAAGUCUACGAAGCAGUUAAUGUUAAGAAAUACCAUUGACUAAAAAAAAAAAAAUGAUUUUCUGCAUUGGAUGUUAAAAGAUAUGAAGCAAGAAAUUGACCAUUCAGUGGAACAAUGUGAAUCCUAAAUUAUCUAAAUAAAAACAAGAGGAUCAGUUAAUUCAGAAAAAAGAAUUGUAUAAAUUCUGGAACUCGGUAGAUAUAUUCUCCUUAACAAAUUCUGGCAAAGAAUUCUCCCAAUCACUUAUUCAUUAGGGAUUGAGAAUUGACACUAGAAACAGAUAACUUGUGCUUAAUAUUGUGCUUAAGCUUUAAGCAUAGAAAAUUUCCUUGAUGCAAGGGGGUUACUGUGUCACCUCAAGUUAAAAGGCAAUUUAGGAAGUGAUAUGUAACUAGCAGUUUGAAAGUAUUCUAAAUAUUACUUGCUAACAAAAUUCACUCUCUACAGAAGGGACAUACCUAACAAAGAAUACAUCUUGCAGAUUGCUACAUAAAGAGUAAGUACAUUGACAAAUAUUAUGUACUUAAAAUAUAUACAGCUCUGUACUUAGCAUGCCACAUAGAAUUCCUUAAUAUUCCUCUUAACAGCUGUACAAGUUAACUUGACUUUUAUACGCAUUAUACACAUGAAAAAAAUGAGAUGAGAAAGGCCAAAUAAAAUGAAUGAAUGAAUGAAUGAGUUUUUAAAAUUUAUUUUGACAUGAGAGCCAAUCCUAUCAGCCUUGCUGAUUUCUUCAAAAUACUUGCAAAUAAGUUGCUAUAAUAUAAAAACAUCUUCUUAUUGUUUCUCUCUCCUUAAGGAUUUCUCUGAGACAUUUCUAAUAUUUAAAUCUUUUUUCCCAUAGGUUGUCUUUCACGGUACUUUGUAUACACUACUUUGGGUUCAUAUGCCUCAAGUGAAAAAUUGGUCUAAUAACAUUAAUACCUCUGUCACAACCCCAUUGCACAUGAUCAGUUCUAAUAAUGGGUUUUAAAGUAAUUUUGUUUUAUUUUAAAUUACUAUUCAGAUAUCAGUCACUAUGACAUCAGACUUUUUACUCUCUGUGAUAGUUAUAUAUCAACUUAGCUGGAGUAUAGUAUCAAGUUAUUCAAUAAAACACUAAUCUAGGUGUCACUGUGAAGGGAUUUUGUAGAUAUGAUUAACAUCUACAUUUAGUUGACACUAAGUAAAGGAGAUUUUCCUUGAUAAUGUGGUCAAGCCUCAUCCAAUCAAUUGAAAGGCCUGAGCUUUUCUAGAGGAAGAAGUAAUUUUAUCUCAGGACUCCAGCAUUAGCUACUGCUGGACAAUCCCAGCAUCCCAACCUGCCCAACAGAUUUUAGACUAGACUUACCACCUCAUAUGAGCACAUAGCAGAUUCCCAGAAAUCAAUCUAUCUACCUAUGUAUCUAUCAAUCUAUCAUCUCUCUCCUACUGCUUCUGUUUCUGUAGAUGACACUGACAGAUGUGAAUAUUCACAUAAAAGCUGUCAAUAUGCAUGUUCCUUCCUACUACUUGUACCAAUUAAGCAAAGAGUGUAACGGAUGCAUAUUUUUCUAAAGAAUUUCUGUAUGUGUUCUCCGAUUAUUGGUCAGAAAUAAAAAUAUGUUUAUAAUGCAAAAUUCAUAAAAUGUGUAUAAAUGAUAAUGUAUAUGCCUAUAUAAGUGUGUGUUUUUCUGUGUAUACAUAUAUGUAUAUAUGAGUGUGUGUGUAUGUGUGUGCAUUUUUUUGUAACUGAUACUGUGGCCUUUUAUAUCUACCAAAAUCCAGGACUAGUUUAGAAAAGAAAUUACAGCAGCAUUCUAAAAUUUACUUGUUUGAUAUAAAUAUAUUUUUGUAACUUUUUUUGCCUGACAUUUGUGCUGUAAAUCAAAAGUACUUUUGUGAAAGCAAUUUUUUUAAACAAUCUUCUCUGAAAUUGUGUAGGAGGAAGUGAAUCGCUACCACUCAAUCCUGACAUUAAUUCAACAGACACAUAUUUUGAUUUCUGAAGAAUUAUGGAAACAUUCUUUCAGAAGAGAACAAUGAAAGAUAGCAUUCUGUGUUUAGCACAUUUCCCCUUUCCAAGUGGCAGUGGAGCGUUGUAACAGCAAAGUAAAUUGCUUCUUAUUUCUAUGUGCUUUUUAAAACUGUGACACUGACUGAGCUGAACCACCAAGACCACAUCUGUACACAGCUAAAUAAAAGGUUUUACAUGAUGGCAAAACUGGGCAGAAUUAAUUUGUCCUUGGAUGUACUGAUGAUUGCAAUGCUUACACCACUGCUUUAUACACAGUAGGGUAACACUCAGAGUACUAUCAUGAAAUUCAGUUUUUAAUUUAAAAGAUUUUGAAAAAAGGACUCAUUACACAGGUAUGGCCAAGAUGAAGAGACACAGAAACGUCUGAUUGUAUACUGUAGCAUUAGUGACAGAUUGCCUGAGCAAGAAGUGAGAAAAAUAUUACUGAAGCCUCAGAGAGUUUGAAGCUUUAGAAAUAAAGCUGCCUAGCAAGAAUUGCAACCAUAGAAUAUAGUCAUUGCCCCAGAUUGAAGCAAGGCAAGGACAGGGGUUUGUUAGGAGUGAUGAAUACCUUGAUCUUUCUCUGUUCCAGCCAGCCCUCUAAUUUUCUGUGAUACUACUGGCCAAACCCAAUCAGAGGCUAAAAUUCAAGUGAUAUUGGGUGAUACGUGUGUAGGGCCAAAACUCCUUGAAAACAGAACAGGGAAGGGCUUGGAACAAUGGAGUUUCAAGGAGAGUAGCAAAUUAACAUAGUAGACAUACAAUCUAUAAGUUCGAGUUGAGGGCAGAAAUCAGUCUAGGCUGUUCAAUGGUAUGAAGUCAGGAACAAGGAUCAUACUUCUGAGCCAUAUGGAGGUAAGAUGCUAGAGGGAGAUGGUAAGUAAGCUACUAUUUUUUCCACUUAUGUAAGUAGAAA